rnacentral:pre_miRNA from 1 species
GUCACCUGAGGAUCUUAUUAAAAUGCAGGGUUUGAUUUAGGUAUGGACUAGGGCCUAAAACUCUGCAUUUCUAACAAGCUCCCAAGUGAUGCGGA